AUUAGGUGUCUUAUCUUCCAUUGAGCUGCAUCUGAUGAAGGUUGCUGACGGCGUAAUGGCAGGGAAAGCGUCGGACAGCUCCAUAAAAUGGCAGCUAUGCUAUGACAUGUCAGCCAGGACCUGGUGGAUGGAUGUUUUGCCCACCAGUACUGCAGAAGAGGACUCCAGCAUAUUCUUCCUCAGUUGCAUGUUGAGACCAGAGACAGUGGAGUGGCUUCGGAACAAAACCUCCGCUCUUAACUUUAUACUUGGUAGGCAUUGUUAGUCAUUGCCAUAAAUGUUGAUAUAAGCACUUUGUUAAAAUAAGUAUUUUAUCAGAGAUUUUGAUUAGGAUAAUCCAGGAUGAGGAAAUGUCUAGAAGUCUUAAUAAAUGUUACAUGACUUGGCGUUAUAGCUGAUAACUUAGGAUGUUAGUCACCGGGAUGGAGCUGUUGCAUUGCCUACUUUGUUUCUUUCAGUUUAACAGGGAUUUUACACAUGAGCACAGAGCCAUAAAUUAUGGAUGGGGGAGAUUUAAUCAGUGCACACGGGAAUGUACUAUGCCAUCAGAUUGCAAUUAUUAGACCAUUUCCACUUUCUUAAGAAGAUCUUACUCUCAAUUAUUUGCUAGCAAAUAAAUGAGUAAACUAAUAAUAAUGCUGGGGUCUUAGUCCUGCUUCCGUAAUAGAUGGCUCAGAAGAGAUCCUUUGUAAUUCAGUCUCAAUACCAUAUGUCUCUGUUGACAUUAAAGUGCUUAGUUCCAAAUGAGUUGGCUUCAUUCAAGCAUCUUAAUUCAAGAGUGGAUGAUUAGAUCUUAAGCUAAAAACCUAUUAGGAUGUAAGCACUUAUGUUGCUGAAAGGUAUUAAAGGAACAGCAUAGUGUGGUUGCAGAUAAAUCCUCCGUAUCUAGUACUGAUUGGUUAAACUUUGUUUGAUCUUCAAACGAUAUUAAAAAUGAGCUUAAAUGUUCAAAGUUGAACAUGGCGUAAGUAAGCAUAGAGGUUAUGCUAUGUGAAAAUAAAUGUUGGUGGCUUUUUUAGAGAGAAGAAGCUCGGAAAUGAUAUCUUGAUACUCUGUGAACAGAAAUAAUCUAAGUCGCUUUAAAGUGCAAGAAGAUACUAUCCUUCAGAACUGAAGAGUGAAUUUCUUACCUUCAGUCAGUAAAGUGCAGUAAGAACUAUAACAAAGUCCUAGGAACUCUUCAGUCAUUCCUUGACAUGCUAACUAGCUUUUUUAAUAAUCUUGCAAGCUAUUAAUUUUAUUUUUCAUCUGUAGAACAGCGGAAUUAUGUAGUGAGGAAAAUAUCCCAGUCCUUGUUCUAAGUGAAGAAAACUGUUUUCCAAUUCCUUACUGAAUAAAAACUCAAAUACUGAAAGUAAAAAUUGCUAUUUUGGAGGACAGAUUUAUGGCACAAUUUAAAACUGUGUAUGACCCAGGCUGCAGGAAAUGUAUUUUCUAAAUUAUGUAUUUUGCCUCCAGCCCUACAACAGAAACAUAAGAUGAAAUAAUUAUAUGACAAACCUCGAGAUGUUCUUAAAUUCUAGUUCAUAAAAUAUUUAAUAAAAAUAAUACCUGAAUUUUAGAAGCUGUCUUGUAAUUUGUGGGGUCUCAUUUGGUGGCUGUUGAGAGUGUUUGGUUUUGGCCACGCUGCCAAAAUGGUUGCUGAGAUUGUCAAGAAGCAACUCCUCCACCAUGGUCUGAAUGACUAGGGCACUGCCCACACUCACUGCAGUCACCUUCACUGCUGUAAUUCAAUAUAUCCUUAAAAAUCUGAUGAUGACUUAUCACGUGUUAUUGACGUCCAAAAUAUAGAUAACUCUUCCAUUAUGAGUUACGUAUAUAUAUAUGUAUAUAUACACAAAUCUUUUAAGGAGUGUAUUUUAGGGGUAGGGUAAAAUG
ensembl:lncRNA